rnacentral:lncRNA from 1 species
GAGCUGCACUGAGCUGACAGCUCCUCCAAUAAUUGCUUCCCAAGUAAGUGAUGCAAAUCAACCCAUCCAGCCUAUUCCUGCUCCUCCUUUGGGGACCCAGGAGUCCAGGCCCCAGGAGAUGGGGGACACCAGAGUUGAGGAGACCUAGACGCUGUCAUCUGCCUCCAGUUAAGUGGGCAUAAUCCAUAAAGCUAGGUUGCGGUGUCUUGGGGCUGAGGUGUGGGUAUCAGCAUGGUGAGGCUAAGCCAGGGACCCCACUGUCUCUGCAUUUCUGUCUUAACUGAGAGGGCGUCACAUUGUCACCUUAUUCUCACCCCUUGGAGAAUAAUCCCAUUUCCUUGUAAGGUAGAUGAAGGCGGAGAUAUAGAAGAUACAGAGACAGCGAGGUGGCUGAACCUGUUGAGAAACAAAUCAGGCAGGUGCGGUGGCUUGCACCUGUAAUCCCAACAUUUUGGGAGGCUGAGGUGGGAGGAUCACUUGAGCCCAGCAGUUCAAGACCAGCCUGAGCAACAUAGCAAGAUCCUGUCUCUACAAAAAAAAAAAAAAAUUAAAAAUUAGCUGGGUAUGGUGGUACGCACUUGUAGUCCCGGCUACUGGAGAGGCUGAGGCGGGAAGAUUGCUUGAGCCGGGGAGGUCGAGAGUGCAGUGAGCCAUGAUCAUGCCACUGCACUCCAGAGUGAACCCUGUCUAAAAAAAAAAAAAAAAAAAAAAAAAAAAGACACAAAUGGAUAAACUCACAGCCUAGCUCCUCUGGCUGUGGGCCCUGCAGAUAGUUUUCUCCCCUUGUGAGUCCCCCUCCUCACUAGGCUGAGGAAAAGACAUGGAGUGUUAAGUCCCCACAGAGGGAAUGGGGACGUUUAGGGAAUCUGAUCAAGCCUGGAGACUUUCGUGCGUGUGCCAAGGACAUGUCCUUGCGAUGCAGUGGCCCUUGCUUAACUAACACAUCAAGGAGCCCUUUUCCCUUCCCCAAAUCAGGGCACUUUAAGGGGCCUGUUAAUGCUUAUUCCAUAAUGCAUUUCCUUCCCACAUCUUUAUUUCAGGCUCUUUCUUGCUGUGACCUCCUUAUCCCAACUCCUGCUGACCUUGGAGACCUGAAGAGUUACUUUCCUUACAAUCCUGAACUUCCAACUCCAAACCUAACCCUGCAUGCAGGUCACUGUCUUCGUGGAAAUCUACAGGUGGGAGGCCCUGCAGCUAGACAGCCCUUCCCCGUUGAGAAGAGGGGAGGCAAGGGAAAGGCUGAAAGAUCCGCCUAGAAGCCCAAGUGAGCAGAGUCGGAGCUAGGACCCGAAGAGGCCGAUAGAUGGCGCUCAUGGCCCAACACAGCUCCAGCAGCCCGAGGAAACCAAAGGAAAACAAGUGAGCAGGUUAACCCCUUCCCUCCUGGGCUCAGGACAGAGUUGCUGGCUGGUGGGUAUGCAGGGAGCACUGCCCCAGGCCCGGUGCCUCAACUCUCUAGGCUCUUACCCAGGUGAUAAUCUGGGUCAUCUUCUGUUCCUGCCCAACAAGGCUUUACCCAUAAAUCAUGGUCAGCAGCCUCCUGAAGACUUCCCAGAAGACAUGAAGACUAAUAAAUGGAAGACACUGGUUGGGAGAGCUGCACCCAAGCCCAUGUUUCGUCUCUUGGGCUCUAUCUCUUGAAAGCCUCAGGGUCUCUGUUUCUAAGCACCCCUACUUCAGGAGAG